CCGGUAUCAUUGGGCGUAAAGCGUCUGUAGGUUGUUUAAUAAGUCUGUUGUUAAAGACUAGGGCUCAACCCUAGAAAAGCAAUGGAAACUACUAGACUUGAGUAUGGCAGGGGUAGAGGGAAUUUCUAGUGUAGCGGUGAAAUGCGUAGAUAUUAGAAAGAACACCAGCGGCGAAAGCGCUCUACUGGACCAUUACUGACACUCAGAGACGAAAGCUAGGGUAGCAAAAGGGAUUAGAUACCCCUGUAGUCCUAGCCGUAAACGAUGGAUACUAGAUGUUGUGUUUAAUAUGCAGUAUCGUAGCUACCGCGUUAAGUAUCCCGCCUGGGGAGUACGCUCGCAAGGGUGAAACUCAAAGGAAUUGACGGGGGCCCGCACAAGCGGUGGAGCAUGUGGUUUAAUUCGAUGCAACGCGAAGAACCUUACCAGGACUUGACAUACUACAAAUUUCUUUGAAAAAAGGAAGUGCCUUCGGGAAUGUAGAUACAGGUGGUGCAUGGCUGUCGUCAGCUCGUGUCGUGAGAUGUUGGGUUAAGUCCCGCAACGAGCGCAACCCUUAUUUUUAGUUACUAAUUAAUUAGGUUUUCUAGAAAGACUGCCGGUGACAAACCGGAGGAAGGUGAGGAUGACGUCAAGUCAGCAUGCCCCUUAUGUCCUGGGCUACACACGUGCUACAAUGGUUAAAACAAAGGGUCGCGAGCUCGUGAGAGUCAGCUAAUCCCAUAAAUUUAGCCUAAGUUCAGAUUGUAGGCUGC
rnacentral:rRNA from 1 species